GAUGAACGCUGGCGGCGUGCCUAAUACAUGCAAGUCGAGCGAACAGACGAGGAGCUUGCUCCUCUGACGUUAGCGGCGGACGGGUGAGUAACACGUGGAUAACCUACCUAUAAGACUGGGAUAACUUCGGGAAACCGGAGCUAAUACCGGAUAAUAUAUUGAACCGCAUGGUUCAAUAGUGAAAGACGGUUUUGCUGUCACUUAUAGAUGGAUCCGCGCCGCAUUAGCUAGUUGGUAAGGUAACGGCUUACCAAGGCAACGAUGCGUAGCCGACCUGAGAGGGUGAUCGGCCACACUGGAACUGAGACACGGUCCAGACUCCGACGGGAGGCAGCAGUAGGGAAUCUUCCGCAAUGGGCGAAAGCUUGACGGAGCAACGCCGCGUGAGUGAUGAAGGUCUUCGGAUCGUAAAACUCUGUUAUUAGGGAAGAACAAAUGUGUAAGUAACUAUGCACGUCUUGACGGUACCUAAUCAGAAAGCCACGGCUAACUACGUG
rnacentral:rRNA from 1 species